UUCCAAGAGGACUGGCUCAAAUUAGGAUCCAUCUCAUGGAAAAUUUAUAUGAGGGACAGAGUCUAGCUAUUCUAUUCCUUCCUCUACAAUUUACCUGAUUAUCACGUGUGAUAGUUGACAUGCUGGUAGGUCUGGAAUGGUACUGCUAUUAGUAAAUGACUGAAAACUGAUAUUAAAGAAAAGCUAAUCAUGGACAUACCUUUGAAUUCUAAGGUCUUUUAUUAGAAAAUUUCUUUUCUAUAAAUCAUAACAUAACUGCUGUGUAAUAUUUUCCAAUUAAAAUUUAUACUUAAAUUAUCCUUUUCAUUCAUUUCAUUCCAUUAUUGAAUAAUAUAGUAAUAACAUGAUGACAAAAGGUUAUUAAAUGGACAAUGGACAAUGGACAAUGGACAAAAGGUUAUUAAUAUUAUUUCUAUCAUCAAAAAGAAAGAACUCUAAGAAUGUAAUCUUGAUUUAUAAUACUAUGCCUAUAAGUUUUCUAGUCUUAAUUAAAACUGUGAUUUUCAGGAACUUAAUCUUGGCAUUAAAUGAGGACCCACUGUAUUAUUUAUUUUAUCAAUAUGAUUGUUUUGUAAUGUAAAUUAAUUAUAUAUUACAUGAUUAAAUAAAAAUUUGUUGUGUAUGUAAAAAAACUUUUUAAUAUUGCCAAAUUUAUGUAUUAAAUAAUAGAGC
rnacentral:lncRNA from 1 species